UGGUUUAUAUGCAUUAGUUUUUUUAUUUGUUAUGUUAAUUAAUAUGUUUUUUUUUUCUUGAUUUGAGUUUACUGGAUAGCUAGGUUAAUGCAUAACAUGAGAUUUUGUUAUAGUUUUGUGGUUAUGUUUGAAGUUUAUUAGCUCUUUGGAUCAUCCACUGAUUUAGCUAGAGAUAGUUUUUGGUAACUUUGUUGUUUGUUUUCUGUGGUGGCUUUAUUUGACUAUUGAUUUUGCUAAGUUAGGUGGAACCAUUGAUAGCCAGGUUAGGCUUUCUGGGUGAAUUGUUUUUCACAUCUUGCAUAAUGUGUGAUUGUGUGCGCGUGUAUGAAUCUAAAGUGAACUUCUUUUUCUUCUUGAAUUAUGGACGAACAUGUACGGGAGGAAGUACCAAAGUAGUGAGGAAAUGAAGCACAGGUACUCGAUUUUCGCUGAAAGUUUGGAGACGAUUAGAUCGCACAACAAGUGGCUAUCCUAUACUCUUGGAGUCAACGGUAGUCGUGUGCACCGGAGAAGUACGAGUUACGAUUGUUGAAGACGUAAGACUGGAAUUAGUAAGUGGAUCAGGCGGGCGUUGGAAGUCUCAUGCUGCGUUGUGAAUAAAGACGUCAUCCAUGGUUUUGAGGUUUGGGUUGGGUGUCUUACUCCUGAACGAGACACGCCUUCCAAACCUUGGUUUUAUUUAAUGUUUUUUGAUGAGUCCUUAGUGAACUCUUAAAACAAUUCGUAUGGUUUGUAAAACUUGUGUUUGAAGUCUACGUUUUAAAACUAUGUUGUUAUGUUGAACUUGUUUAAUAGAUGACAAAUAUAUGGUUUUAUCAUAUAGUUGUUAUUAUGAUUGAA